UACGUAGGUGACUAGCGUUGUCCGGAUUUACUGGGCGUAAAGAGCGCGCAGGCGGUCGUUCAAGUCGAGUGUGAAAGCCCCCGGCUCAACUGGGGAGGGUCAUUCGAUACUGAUCGACUCGAAGGCAGGAGAGGGAAGCGGAAUUCCCGGUGUAGCAGUGAAAUGCGUAGAUAUCAGGAGGAACACCGAUGGCGAAGGCAGGUCUCUGGGCUGACACUGACGCUCAUGCACGAAAGCGUGGGGAGCAAACAGG
rnacentral:rRNA from 1 species